CUUUGUAUGUGUCCAUUGCUCCACCAACUUCAAGAGAUCUUCUUCAAAGAGCAAUGAGCUUAUCCAGUAGGAAUGAAGAAGGUAAGAACACCAUCAUCACACUCCAGUUGCAUUCAGUUUCAAGAAUAACUUCUAAUGCAGCAGACUCUUCAGGAAGACCAAAAAACCAGACCAUACAGGGAAAUGAAAAUGUUUUUAAAAACUAACUGCUGGGUAUAGGUAACGCAGUAUUACAGGCCAGGGCACCAAGAUUUUGCUCAGAUAAAGCAUGUGAAGAGGAGACAUACCACCUCCUACCUAAGCUCUGAAUAUGAAUUACAUCCUUUAGGUCAGUUAACAAAGGCUACUGAAGAGACAGGGAGAAAGGAACAGCUAUAAAGGAUGAGUUGAUGAGGUCUUAUUGGA
rnacentral:lncRNA from 1 species